rnacentral:rRNA from 1 species
CGUAGGUGGCAAGCGUUAUCCGGAAUUAUUGGGCGUAAAGCGCGCGCAGGCGGUUUCUUAAGUCUGAUGUGAAAGCCCACGGCUCAACCGUGGAGGGUCAUUGGAAACUGGGGAACUUGAGUGCAGAAGAGAAAAGCGGAAUUCCACGUGUAGCGGUGAAAUGCGUAGAGAUGUGGAGGAACACCAGUGGCGAAGGCGGCUUUUGGUCUGUAACUGACGCUGAGGCGCGAAAGCGUGGGGAGCAAACAGGAUU